UACGAACUGCACAAACGUUAUUCGGAAUCACUGGGCUUAAAGAGUCCGUAGGCGGCUCGGAGGGUGAGGUGUGAAAUCCCACAGCUCAACUGUGGAAUUGCGCUUCAAACCGCCGGGCUUGAGGGAGACAGGGGUGAGCGGAACAGAUGGUGGAGCGGUGAAAUGCGUUGAUAUCAUUUGGAACACCGGUGGCGAAGGCGGCUCACUGGGUCUCUUCUGACGCUGAGGGACGAAAGCUAGGGGAGCGAACGGG
rnacentral:misc_RNA from 1 species